CCACCCCACACCACACCAGCACACCGACCCCGAUCGACCCCCACCCCACCAAACUCUCUCUCUCUCUCUCCCUCUCCUCUCAUCCACAGCCGCCGCCGCACUCAUCCGCCCGGCGAUCCCACCGGCCGGCGCCCUUCGCCCUCAUCCUCUCCACCUUCCCCUACCUUCUAUCCAUCUAUAUGCCCCUAGACUAGAUCGAGCAGGCGGGCCGUCAGAUCGGGACCGGUCAUGCCCACGGCGGGGCAUCUGGAUCCGCGCCGCCGUCGAUCCAGGACGCGACGUUCGGCUCCUUCUCCACAUCCACGCCAAGGUUGACGAGGAGUGAAGGGGCUUCCUCCCCGCGCUCUCUCCCGGGACGCCGCCAUGCAUGCCAUCGAGCUCCGACCCCGCCGCCGCCGACAUCUCUGACCCAUGACGAGCAGCUCAGUCAAGAACUAGUGCGCGAAGGAUUUUUCCCCCUUUCUUCUUCCCCGAGCACGAAUCCAUGGCAGCACGCAGCACAGGUUUGUCCCGGUCGUUGGCGUCUUCGUGGCCCCGCCACAAACCUUGGUCCUUCGAUCCUGUACAGAGAGUCGUCGUAUGCGUACGACCCGCCGCUCAAUUGCAGAAUACCCCUCGAUGGAUUUCCUGGGAGAAAAUAUAACAAAUGCACGCUAAGGACGACGCAGCAUCUUCACUUCUUUCCUUGCACAUUCCUGUUAAGGAAGCAAAGAAAUCUUGGGUUCUUAAAUGGGAGAAGCACAUAAGGGAGAAGAAGAUGAUUGCAAGGAUGGAGAGGGAGCAAAUCAUUUGGAGGCAUAGAAUGCCACUGUUUGGUGUUUUAUGCAUUUUUGUUUGCUUUUAACUGUGUUUGCACUAGUUGGGAAUAAGUGACGGCAAUAAGUGUAGAUGUAUGGAUAUACUCUAAUGCUCCUGGUUUACUAUAAAUCUUCGAUUUGGAAUGAUGUGUAAUGCUGCUGGUUUAUUACAAAUCUGGGCUUGUUUUA